rnacentral:lncRNA from 1 species
GGAGUGUUGUGCAAUGUGCAUAUAAAUAUGUUAGCCUAAGAAUAAGUUAGAUAUGAUAUGUUAGUAUAUGGGGUCAUACAUCAACUGGACGUCAUAAAUAUAUGACCCUAUAUAUAUAUAAUAUUGUACAAAAAUUCAAAAAACCAUAGAAAGACGUAGCUCAAUAGAUAACAUGCUCGGGAGAAAUUAUUAUUUCGAAAUCAACGUGCGUAGGUUUGCGCCCCGGUGCUUUCUAGAGAAGGGACUAUACUUCAUGUAUAUUGAUAUCAAAGAAGAUUUCUAGGUCAGAUGGAGUAAAUGUAAUGAAAUAAUGUUUACUUAUACUUUAUUAGUGCAACUCCAUCUGACUAUUUAAAGGAACAUUAAAAAAAACCUCCCCAUCCAAAAAAAUAUUAUCCUGCGGACGCCCCUGAUUAGUGGUCUUCAAGAAAACCAAUAUAUGUUAUCUAAAAACAUACUUUUGGGUGCAUGUCGAGGGUAAGGCCUACAGUUUCCUUCAUCCAAAUACCGAUGCCUUCAAUGCUAUUGUAAGCCCAGCUCUGGGACGCCAUGAAAAAAGACUACAUCCGCAGUGGGUGCCACAGGCCUUCUGCCACCCCCUGGAAGCCAUCCUUCCCGCUAAGGGCGGGAACAUUAAAGAUAAGAAGAGCUCAGAUACCCACCAAUUGAUUGAAUUUCAUCAAAAUUAAUACUAAGUAUUUAUUCAAAUUUUAAUGGACUACUCGGUAUAGGCUAGAGUAAAACUAGAAUGUGUACUCGGGAGAGCACACAUCUCCCUCAAAAAUCAUAUUCCCUAAAAAAUAACAACAAAUGACACUCAUUUGAGUUAUGUCUCUCAGUUUGAUUUGUGUGACUUUGACCUCUAAAAAUUUAGAGGUCUCAAUUUGUUCCAAAGCUAUAGUCGACUUUAUAUUUUUAACAUUUUGUUCUGUUUGAAACUCUGAGAUCCUGAGAUCUCUUGCAUGGACCCUCAUCGACUUAAUGGGAUUGACCUGGGCUGUUCCCUUUAACUCUUCCAGGCCCAGUUUGGCCUCUUUGACAGAGACCUUCUUCUUCUCCAACAUUUUGGAGAUGCUGACUGAGUAGACGGUGGUCCUCGAGACGCCCAAUUGUUUGGAGUGUGUGAAUGGAAAUUCGUCGAUCACGUUCAAGUGUCAUUUUCUCGACUUGUCAAAUUUUAGUUAUGCAGCAUGCUUGAUUCUCUAUAGAAUACUCCAUUUUGAAUGCCAAAGACUUUAUUAUUAAGAAACUAUUGUUUUUAAACAAUAAUGGUAAUAUGAAUGAAUAAGCAAAGAUGAGUAGAGAAUUACCAUUAUGAAAGAACCAAGGCUAUCACCAAUGCUUCACAACCCUACUUGUUUAUGUAUAGAGAGAUUGCUGGGAUAGAUAAGGUCUUUUAUACUAUGACUAAGUUACAUCAGAUAGGAGUCUUUAUUUCAGGGCCGUCCGCAGUGGAUGGACUGGAGGGGCUGUAGCUCAUCAUCCAAUUAAGGAAUUUUUGUUUGGGUCAGAAUUAGGGAUGUACCAA